AGGGCGUUUGGUGAAUGCCUUGGCAGUAAGAGGCGAUGAAAGACGUGAUACUCUGCGAUAAGUCAUGGGGAGCUGAGAAUAAGCUUUGAUCCAUGAAUUUCUGAAUGGGGCAACCCACCUGAUACUUUGUUAUUAUUACCCUUCGGGGUAGCUAAUAAUGAGGUAAACCAGGUAUUUAUAGACUGAAUACAUAGGUUUAUAAAAGCAAACCCGGGGAACUGAAACAUCUAAGUACCCGGAGGAAAGGAAAUCAAUUGAUACUCCCCUAGUAGCGGCGAGCGAACGGGGACCAGCCGAGCCUCAAUUGUGGUUAGAAUGCGUUGGAAUGCGCAACCAAAGUGGGUGAUAGUCCCGUAUAAGAAGCAUGAGAGGACGUAUUAAGUAGGGCGGAACACGUGAAAUUCUGUCUGAAGAUCGGAGGACCACCUUCGAAGGCUAAGUACUCCUUACUGACCGAUAGUGAACCAGUACCGUGAGGGAAAGGUGAAAAGCACCCCGACGAGGGGAGUGAAACAGUACCUGAAACCGAACGCCUACAAUCAGUUGGAGGGGCUUUACGCCCUGACAGCGUACCUUUUGUAUAAUGGGUCAUCGACUUGGUCUCACAAGCAAGCUUAAGCCGUUAGGUGUAGGCGCAGCGAAAGCGAGUCUUAAUAGGGCGUUGAGUUUGUGGGAUCAGACCCGAAACCGAGUGAUCUAGGCAUGGCCAGGUUGAAGGUAAGGUAACACUUACUGGAGGUCCGAACCCACACCUGUUGAAAAAGGUCGGGAUGAGGUGUGCCUAGGGGUGAAAGGCCAAUCAAACUCGGAGAUAGCUGGUUCUCUGCGAAAUCUAUUUAGGUAGAGCGUCAUCCGAAUACCCCGGGGGGUAGAGCACUGGAUGGGUAAUGGGGCCCCACAGGCUUACUGAUCCUAACCAAACUCCGAAUACCCGGGAGUACUAGAUGGCAGACACACAGCGGAUGCUAACGUCCGUUGUGAAGAGGGAAACAACCCUGACCUACAGCUAAGGCCCCUAAUUCAUGGCUAAGUGGGAAAGCAGGUGGGACGACCAAAACAACCAGGAGGUUGGCUUAGAAGCAGCCAUCCUUUAAAGAUAGCGUAACAGCUCACUGGUCUAAAUAAGUUGUCUUGCGGCGAAGAUGUAACGGGGCUCAAGCCAUGAGCCGAAGCUUAGGAUGCAUUUAUUGCAUGGUAGCAGAGCGUAGUGUGACAUAAUUCCAUGUCUCCUUAACCACUUCGGUGGGAUUGGAGACGCGGAGUUUUCUGUGAAGCGGGCCUGUGAGGGAUCCCGUGGAGAGAUCACUAGUGAGAAUGAUGACAUGAGUAGCGACAAAGAGUGUGAGAGACACUCUCGCCGAAAAUCCAAGGGUUCCUGCUUAAAGCUAAUCUGAGCAGGGUAAGCCGACCCCUAAGGCGAGGCCGAAAGGCGUAGUCGAUGGGAACCAGGUUAAUAUUCCUGGGCCAGAUGGAAGUGACGGAUCUCGAGGGUAGUUCAUCCUUAUCGGAUUGAAUGGGCUGCUUAGAGGUCCCUGGAAAUAGCUCCAUCGCUAGAUCGUACCCUAAACCGACACAGGUGGAUAGGUAGAGAAUACCAAGGCGCUUGAGAGAACUAUGUUGAAGGAACUCGGCAAAAUACCUCCGUAAGUUCGCGAGAAGGAGGCCCGGUUUCCAGGCAACUGGAGGCUGGGGGCACAAACCAGGGGGUGGCGACUGUUUACUAAAAACACAGGGCUCUGCGAAGUCGCAAGACGACGUAUAGGGUCUGACGCCUGCCCGGUGCCGGAAGGUUAAGAGGAGAGGUGCAAGCUUUGAAUCGAAGCCCCGGUAAACGGCGGCCGUAACUAUAACGGUCCUAAGGUAGCGAAAUUCCUUGUCGGGUAAGUUCCGACCUGCACGAAUGGCGUAACGACUUCCCCGCUGUCUCCAACAUCGACUCAGCGAAAUUGAAUUACCUGUCAAGAUGCAGGUUUCCCGCGGUUAGACGGAAAGACCCCGUGCACCUUUACUACAACUUCACACUGGCAUUAGGCCGAACAUGUGCAGGAUAGGUGGUGGGCUUUGAAGCGUGAACGCCAGUUUGCGUGGAGCCUCCCUUGAGAUACCACCCUUGUUCUGCUUGAUGUCUAACCGCGGUCCGUUAUCCGGAUCCGGGACCCUGUGUGGUGGGUAGUUUGACUGGGGCGGUCGCCUCCUAAAUCGUAACGGAGGCGCGCGAAGGUUGGCUCAGAGCGGUCGGAAAUCGCUCGUUGAGUGCAAUGGCAGAAGCCAGCCUGACUGCAAGACUGACAAGUCGAGCAGA
rnacentral:rRNA from 1 species